AUUGAACGCUGGCGGCAUGCCUUACACAUGCAAGUCGAACGGUAACAGGUCUUCGAUUGCUGCCGUGUUGCGCACUGGUGGGUAAUACAUCGGAACGUGCCCAGCCUUGGGGUGUAACGAGGCGAAAGCUUUACUAAUACCGCAUACGCUCUAAGUAUGACAGCAGGGAAGCGCAAGGCCUUGUGCGUUUGGGGCGUCCGAUGGCAGAUUAUGUAGUUGGUGGGAUAAAGGCUUACCAAGUCGACGAUCUGUAGCUGUUCUGAGAGGACGACCAGCCACACUGGAACUGAGACACGGCCCAGACUCCUACGGGAGGCAGCAGUGGGGAAUAUUGCACAAUGGGCGAAAGCCUGAUCCAGCAAUGCCGCGUGUAUGAUGAAGGCCUUCGGGUUGUAAAGUACUUUUGUACGGAACGAAAAGACUCUAGCUAAUACCUGGGCUAAAUGACGGUACCGUAAGAAUAAGCACCGGCUAACUACGUG
rnacentral:rRNA from 1 species